GCUAGCAUGGUAUAAUGGGUAGUGAAGUGGCCUUAAAAAUCAAGAGGAUGUGGGUUUAGAUCCCACUACUGGCA
rnacentral:tRNA from 1 species